GGCAGUAUGGGAAUUAGUCCACAGGCCCCUUCUCGAAUGCCUGCCCUCUCUUGUUCCUUGUCCUCAACGUCUUUGAAACUUGGGCUUGUUGGGAAGACACCUGCAAAAGGAUGGAUGCACAUGACCUUCAGCUCUAAUGAAUCAAGCUGCUGAUGAGGAAUUCACUGGGCUCCCAAUCCAGAGAGCUUCGCACACACCCACUGGGGUUGAGACGAGCACUGGGUUUAUUUAUUGUGGACUUUUGGAGUCUGAAGGACUCUUGCCACCCAUCUGUUUCACGGAACAGAACCUGAGGCUCAGAGGGAGCAAGGCGCUCCCCCACAGCCGCAUUGAGAGCCUGAGCCUGGGCACCCGAUGGAGUGAAUGAGGCUGGAGUCCCAGACCUGCCUCUCAUGAGCACGUCGCCCACUGAGCCUCAGCGUCAUCAUCUGGAAAACAGGGAUAAUAUUAUGACCUCAGAAGCUUCGGGGGAGGAAUGCCCUGGGAGGAAUCAACUGACAGCCCUUUCAGUCUCCCACAGUCCAGCCAGUUAAAUCAAGGUGUUCCCCUUUUAUAGAGGAGUCUCCUAGAGCCAACCGCAGCAUCCCUGCCUUUGGGAGCCACCUGGAAUGUGCCAGCUGCAGUAGCCGUUCCUUCCACGCCCCCCCCCCAUGCUGUCUGUGGGGCUUGCCACUGAGUGCUCCAUCUCCCCAUGUGCUCCAUCCCCCGGCAUCUGCUGCCAUUGGUCCUGCCUGUUGCGUUACUUCUCUGUGCCCUGGAGCCCCUCAAGCACAGAGGCCUCGAAAGGUUGAUCAGACAUCCUCAGCACCUGGAGCGGGGCCUGGCACACAAGACGGCAAUGAACGGCCAACCCUAGAAGUUCACCCCACAAGACCUGCAGGGCGGGGGCUGAGUGUCCAAGAAGCCUCUUGGGAAGGGAUGGUCUUAGACCUAGUGGUGUCUUCCCAUUCUGCAGAGGCCUAGGGAUGUCCCCAGGUCCCCAGAGUGGGAGGGGAAGGGUCAGAAGUCCAUGGAAAUAAAACACAGGGCCAGCUACAAAAUUUGUGGGGCCCAGUGCAAAAUGAAGAUGCAAGUUCCCUUGUUCAAAAAGCAGUAAAAAAAAAACACAAAA